AGAAAAAAGCAGCUACGCUACUAAUUGGUGAAAGUGAAACCACACAGCUGAACAGCGAAGACAACAUCGACUCCGACUGACCCAACACAGUUCACCUCCUGGAAGUUUUUACGAAAGAUCCGAUACCUGACCCUCUGCUGUGGCCAGGACCUGGGCUCAGGAAUCAGACGAAUUCUGAGAAAAAUUGGAACAGUGGAGCUGUGGACAGGCUACUCCUUGAAGGGCAGGAAGGGGAAGAGGGCCUUCAAUGAGCUAUCAAUCUAUGAUGCCGUCACAAGAGCGGGUCGAGGAAGCGACAGUGGAUGAGGAUGGAGCUGCAGCACCUGAAUUAACUUUUAGCUUUAAGCAGUUUUACAGUUCUUGAUUGGAGUGCAGUGUUCAUGUUUUUACUGACUUGUUUUUUGUGAUCUUAUUGCUGUCAUUUUGGCCUGAUUCACACAAUCUCCUCUGCACAGUUGAUGUUGAGAUGUGUCUUGUACUUGAGCUCUGUGAAGCAUUUAUUUGGGCUGCAAUUUCUGAGGCUGGUAACUCUUUUGAACUUAUCCUCUGCAGAAGAGGUAACUCUGGGUCUUCC
rnacentral:lncRNA from 1 species